rnacentral:rRNA from 1 species
GAUGAACGCUGGCGGUAUGCCUUACACAUGCAAGUCGUACGAGAGUUUUUAACUCAAGUGGCGGACGGGUGAGUAACACGUGAGAAUUUGCCUUCAGGAGGGGGACACCAACUGGAAACGGUUGCUAAUACCCCAUAUGCUUUCGAGUGAAAUGGAUUUAUUCGCCUGAAGAGAAGCUCGCGGCUGAUUAGCUUGUUGGUGGGGUAAGAGCCUACCAAGGCGACGAUCAGUAUCUGGUUUGAGAGGACGAUCAGACACACUGGAACUGAGACACGGUCCAG